rnacentral:rRNA from 1 species
UACGUAGGUGGCAAGCGUUGUCCGGAUUUACUGGGCGUAAAGAGCGCGCAGGCGGUCGGAUAAGUCGAAUGUGAAAGCCCCCGGCUCAACUGGGGAGGGUCAUUCGAUACUGUUCGACUCGAAGGCAGGAGAGGGAAGUGGAAUUCCCGGUGUAGUGGUGAAAUGCGUAGAUAUUGGGAAGAACACCGGUGGCGAAGGCGGCGCUCUGGACCGAGACUGACGCUGAGGCGCGAAAGCGUGGGGAGCAAACAGG